rnacentral:rRNA from 1 species
ACGCUCGACACCUACGGGAAGCAGCAGUGGGGAAUAUUGCACAAUGGGGGAAACCCUGAUGCAGCGACGCCGCGUGAGCGAAGAAGUAUUUCGGUAUGUAAAGCUCUAUCAGCAGGGAAGAAACUGACGGUACCUGACUAAGAAGCACCGGCUAAAUACGUGCCAGCACGCCGGACGGUAAUCUGAGGCGGGCUGGACGAAGGC